rnacentral:tRNA from 1 species
UCCCCGGUAGCUCAAUGGUAGAGCGUUCGGCUGUUAACCGAAAUGUUACUGGUUCGAAUCCAGUCCGGGGAGCCA